UACGUAGGGUGCAAGCGUUGUCCGGAAUUAUUGGGCGUAAAGAGCUCGUAGGCGGUCUGUCGCGUCGGAUGUGAAAAUCCAGGGCUCAACCCUGGACCUGCAUUCGAUACGGGCAGACUAGAGUUCGGCAGGGGAGACUGGAAUUCCUGGUGUAGCGGUGAAAUGCGCAGAUAUCAGGAGGAACACCGGUGGCGAAGGCGGCCUGCUGGGCAGUUGCUGACACUGGAGGCGCGACAGCGUGGGGAGCAAACAGG
rnacentral:rRNA from 1 species